rnacentral:rRNA from 1 species
GACGAACCGUGCGAACGUUGUUCGGAAUCACUGGGCUUAAAGGGCGCGUAGGCGGACGGCAAAGUCAGGGGUGAAAUCUUUCGGCCCAACCGGAAAAGGGCCCCUGAUACUGGUCGUCUCGAGGGAGGUAGGGGUUGGUGGAACUUCCGGUGGAGCGGUGAAAUGCGUAGAUAUCAGGAAGAACACCAAUGGCGAAAGCAGCUUUCUGGGACGGUACUGACGCUGAGACGCGAAAGCGUGGGGAGCGAACAGG